UCAUUCUCUUUUUACCAGCCGAAUAUGAAGGCUUGAGAAGCCAUGGAAGAAGCUUCCAACUUUCAGCUAAUGCAUGGGUUGCCAGGUUAGAUCGGGUUGGAGGCCGUCAGAGAUAUUAUCACAUUGUCAAGUCUACGCUAUCGGCGUUGUUCUUUCAGGAAGUAUCUAUUCCAUGAUGGACUAUAUCAAGGAGCCACUUAUGUUUAUGUAAUAUGGAUUUGAACUUCAUUACAUUGAAUUAUAUCAAUGGAUUGUUUAAUUUCAAUGUGUUUAUUUUGAGUACCAUGUAUUUUCUCUGUCACCACGUUUGUAUUUGGGAUGGAUUUUUAUAAGACAAGUUGUUGAAAUAUUUGACUAUUUUAAA